GCCACAGCGGCAGCCGCGGGCAACAGCCUCGGGAGUCGGAGCUAGAACGGCCGGGGGCGGCGGCGGCGGCUGUGAGGGAUCUAAAAUGUCCACUGAGGCACAAAGAGUUGAUGACAGUCCAAGCACUAGUGGAGGAAGUUCUGAUGGAGACCAACGUGAAAGUGUUCAGCAAGAACCAGAAAGAGAGCAAGUUCAGCCCAAGAAAAAGGAGGGGAAAAUAUCCAGCAAAACAGCUGCUAAAUUGUCCACUAGUGCUAAAAGAAUUCAGAAGGAACUUGCAGAAAUUACGUUGGACCCUCCUCCCAACUGUAGGU